rnacentral:rRNA from 1 species
GACGAACGCUGGCGGCGUGCUUAACACAUGCAAGUCGAACGGAAAGGCCCUGCUUUUGUGUGGUGCUCGAGUGGCGAACGGGUGAGUAACACGUGAGUAACCUGCCCUUGACUUUGGGAUAACUUCAGGAAACUGGGGCUAAUACCGGAUAGGAGCUCCUGCUGCAUGGUGGGGGUUGGAAAGUUUCGGCGGUUGGGGAUGGACUCGCGGCUUAUCAGCUUGUUGGUGGGGUAGUGGCUUACCAAGGCUUUGACGGGUAGCCGGCCUGAGAGGGUGACCGGCCACAUUGGGACUGAGAUACGGCCCAGUCUCCUACGGGAGGCAGCAGUGGGAAAUAUUGCACAAUGGGCGGAAGCCUGAUGCAGCAACGCCGCGUGCGGGAUGACGGCCUUCGGGUUGUGAACCGCUUUCACCUGUGACGAAGCGUGAGUGACGGUAAUGGGUAAAGAAGCACCGGCUAACUACGUG